AAUAUUGGACAAUGGGGGCAACCCUGAUCCAGCCAUGCAGCGUGUGUGAAGAAGGUCUUCGUAUUGUAAAUCACUUUUAGUUGGGAGGAAGGGCUUUAGGUUAAUACCCUGAAGUUGUGACGUUACCAACAGAAUAAGCAACGGCUAACUCUGUGCCAGCAGCCGCGGUAAUACAGAGAGUGCAAGCGUUAAUCGGAAUUACUUGGCGUAAAGCGCGCGUAGGUGGUUCAGUAAGAUGGGUGUGAAAUCCCCGGGCUUAACCUGGGAACUGCUUUCAUAACUGCUGAGCUAGAGUACGGUAGAGGGUAGUGGAAUUUCCUGUGUAGCGGUGAAAUGCGUAGAUAUAGGAAGGAACACCAGUGGCGAAGGCGACUACCUGGACUGAUACUGACACUGAGGUGCGAAAGCGUGGGGAGCAAACAG
rnacentral:rRNA from 1 species